rnacentral:rRNA from 1 species
AUUGAACGCUGGCGGCAGGCCUAACACAUGCAAGUCGAGCGGUUGAGGUAGCUUUCUACCGAUGCAGCGGCGAACGGGUGAGUAAUACAUGGGAAUCUGCCUGGUAGUGGGGGACAACGUUUCGAAAGGAACGCUAAUACCGCAUACGCCCUACGGGGGAAAGGGGGGGAUCGCAAGACCUCCCGCUAUCAGUUGAGCCC